CCUACGGGAGGCAGCAGUGGGGAAUAUUGCACAAUGGGGGAAACCCUGAUGCAGCGACGCCGCGUGAGUGAAGAAGUAAUUCGUUAUGUAAAGCUCUAUCAGCAGGGAAGAAAAUGACGGUACCUGAGUAAGAAGCACCGGCUAACUACGUGCCAGCAGCCGCGGUAAUACGUAGGGGGCAAGCGUUAUCCGGAUUUACUGGGUGGAAAGGGAGCGUAGACGGCAGUGCAAGUCGGGAGGGAAAGGCGGGGGCUCAACCCCCGGACUGCUCUGGAAACUGUACGGCUGGAGGGCAGGAGAGGUAAGUGGAAUUCCUGGUGUAGCGGUGAAAUGCGUAGAGAUUAGGAGGAACACCAGUGGCGAAGGCGGCUUACUGGACUGUAACUGACGUUGAGGGGCGAAAGCGUGGGGAGCAAACAGGAGUAGAGACCCGGGUAGUC
rnacentral:rRNA from 1 species